UAGAAUCGUGCAAUGGUUAUAUAAUACUCCCCAAAUAUGACAUCUAGCUUUAGACUCAAGAAUCUGUCAAUUGACCACCUAGACGAAAGUCACUACCCUAGCGCCUUUUAAUCAUUUGAACAACUCGCAAUAGUUUAACCUUAGCUUAUUUUAGUUUAAUUGUGCGUUGUAGUUUUAUAAUAUUAGAAUCAUAAUCAAAACCAAAAAUGUAUAGAAGUGCAAUUAAGAGCAAAUAAACAACUCCACUUUAGAUAGACACCCGACUCCAUUAUCUAGCUCCUUGUGAAAAUCGAUCCCGACCAUAAUCGGGUAAAAGCUGCUUCGACCUCUCUCGCUACUCCAUAGUAGUGCAGGGUUGGCCUCGAUCAGUUCACUAACAAGGCAAUUUGGGGAAGCGUAUGGUCGAUAGUGGCUGCUCAAGCUUUCCACCCACUCCAUACGUCCGACGGCCCCCUCCUAAAAUAAAGGGACUCAACAAAGAGUUCGUGUAUGCAAGGCGUACUAUGAGACUUGCUGCGGAAAGAAUUGAACGGGUGAUGCAUAUGAUGAGAGUUAUAAAGCAGUAACACAUAAAGGAAAAACUAUAAACACAUAAAACAGCUAGCAAAUAAAGCGAUAUAAACAAAAAUAAAAACCAAAUAAAAAUUAUAAAAACCUCAACCUAAUAUUCUAAAAAGCUAAAAAGAUCAAAUACCAGCUCGAACCUGCAACUCCCUAGCAGAGUCGCCAAAGCUGUCACACCCCUUUUUUCAUCCUACUAACCUUCUUAAAAUUAAUAAAAGAUUUGUAAAGCUCAAAAGGGUUUUCAAAAUUGACAAGUGACAAAAUUGUGUUUUAACAGAUAUUUUAAAGUCGUCACCUAGCAUUGGAUUUCGGUGUGUCAGCUCACCGUUUAAAAGCAAUUUUUCUUUCAAAACACGUUCGACUCUAAAACUGACUACAGCUGAAUUCUAGGUAAGGGGAUUCGUUUGACUCGGGGAGAAGGUGUUAGGCAUUUUCCGAGUUCCGUGAAAAUCACGAUUGCGUACCCAAUCUAGUUGGCUUUUAAAAUAUUCAAAUUGAAGUAAAAAAACACAUAAAAGGAAAAUAAUCGCAAAAGAGGCUCGAGGACGUUCCCACCUAAUAAUAGAAAAAUGAAAAGAAAAAGAAAAGAAAAAUCUUAAACUAACCUAUGCUAUGACUUCUCCACAACGCUCGUCAAGGCCUCCAAAAUAUUUACAAUGUUCUUCAAGGCAUUCACCGGAACAAUUAAUUAACUAUGGGGUGGGGGUAGGGGGACCUCUCACCUCAAACAAAAGGGAAGAAAAGAAAAGAAGCCUAAAAUUUGCCUACCCGAGUGUGGUCGGCCUAAACAUACUACUAGCGAUUCUUAAUUAAAUAAAAUGAGUUUAAAGGCAGUGAAACAGCAGCAACGAGGCCAUCAAUUGUUCUUUGUCUUUCAGUUAAUUUGGCUCAUUUCAUUUAAUGCAAAAUUUUCACCCCAACGAUCGACCGAAUCUUUCAACAGUGAACAAUAUCCAUUUUUUCAUUUCAAUUAUCCACCAAAUGACUCAAAAUAUUCAUUCAAGUUUAUCAUGAACUCAAGGUAAUGAACUGAUCCAGCAACUAAAUCAACUAAACAAAGGGUAGAAGAUCCACAAACAAUUAACACAAUUCAUCAACAAGUAUAAUGAGAUGAAAUAAAAUAGGUAUAAGAAAUGGACCUUUAUAUAGCUAGAAAUUGAUUGUUCAUCGAUUUGAACUCGAAAAUAUAACGGACCACGGAUGGAAACUCGAAUCGGCACCGAAAAGCUUAUCCAAAACUAAAGCUUAAUUGGAGAAAGGACCAAUAGCAUUCCGUCAGUUGAUAUAAGAAAUUAUUUGCACCUCGAGGUAGCUUCCGUUAGCCUUGGCUGGUUUGAGACUCAAAUAAACACUAAAUUUUGAUCGGAUUCAGCUAACUAUAUGCCCACAACCACAAGCUUCGUCCGUCGUUAGGUGAUAAUUGGAAAACUUCAUUGUAACCGUUGGUGUUAGUUGACGAAAAAGGGUAGCUAAAUCUUUGUGACGCUCGGCAAGAUUAAGGGAAAAGAAACCAAAAAUUUGAGUGUUUCUUAUGUGUAAAUUGUAUAUAUGAAGAAUCUUAGCCAAAUCGGGUUUUUCUUGUGUGUUAGGAGCGGCAGAAAUGAUCGAGAAAAUCCAACAGAAACAUCUGGUUUUUACUUGAUUCGUUCCAACAGGUUGGAAUCAAAGAAGCUAUCAUUUUCUCUGGUGGGUCUGUGGAUGGUCAGGGGCUGAAUAAGGCUGGGCGUCGGCUGUUUCCAACGAAAUUGGGUGGCGCCUCUGCUUGAAUUCGUUGAGGGUGGUGGUUGUUCUCUCUCUGGUGACGGGUGGCUCCUUUUUCCUUUCGAGAUAGGUGCGGCUGAUGGCUUGGAGAUUUGGUGGGGGCGGAGUUGUUGGUUGGUGUUCUGGUAAAGCGAGGUGGUCGAAUUUCCAGCGAGAUGGUGGUGGCCGACGUGGUCAAAAGAGGUGGGGAAGUGCUAUUCUUAGCUUGGAAAUGGGGGUGGCCAGUUUUUCCUAGAAUGAAAAGGGCGCGGGGCGGCUAGCAGUGUUCUCUAGGUUGGAAGAUAGAUCUAGGGUUUGAGGUAGGUUAAAAUUUUAUGUGGUUAGGAGAAUUAACAUGGGCCAUUGGAUCAAAGUAGAUCAAUGACUAUGAUUAAGGGAGAGGUUUUGAUGGGUAAGAAAAGGGUUUGGGUUAAAAGGGAUUAGUAAGAAUGAGCAUUUGUCUUGUUGGGCCACUGAAAUCCGAAAAUGAGUUCCCGAAUGGCCCAAAUUCAAUUCUUUCUCAUUGAACAAAAAUAAAAAUACUACUAAACUAUACUAAUUAAUCUUAGUUAAUAAGAAUAAACUAUUAAAGUGAACUAUAUAUUAAAAAUAAAAAUAUUUUUGGUAUUUUUUAAAUGUUAUAAAAAGGUAGAGAAAACUAUGUUAAAGUAAUGGUAAAAAUUAAAAUAUUAUCAUUACAAAAUACUAAUAAGCUCAUAUAAAUUUUAAAAAAAAAGAUAUAUGAUAAGAGAAGAAAUAUUAUAAAACUAUUUUAAUAUUUUGUUUGUAAACUUAUGUUUUAAAAUUAAAAAUAAGAGAUGACUUAAAUCCUAUAAAAAUAAAAAUAAGUAAAUAUUUUUUAAAUACUACUUUUAAAAGUUGCGUGGGUCAAAAAUUGCAUGAUUACAAUAACUAUUCUUUUAUUCUUAACCAGAUGUUUGGGUUCGAGUCCUGGAUAAGUAUUCUUUUAUUCUUAUGCAUU
rnacentral:lncRNA from 1 species